rnacentral:tmRNA from 1 species
GGGGGUGCAAUGGUUUCGACGGGGAUCUUGAAGUACGAUAAGCGGGUAAGGCCGGGCAAUCCUUUCAAAGGCCCAACUUUAAAAAUUAAACGACAACAAUACUGUUGCUCUGGCAGCCUAACGGCUGUGCUGCGGCUUAAUUUGCCGCCCGUUCACCGGAGGAGGACCACGGCCUCCGCUUGAGCGUCACGUAGUGGUGAACUUGAAUCGGUGUUUCGCCAUUGAGCCGAUCAAGCAUAAAAUGGCUGCCUUUGCGUAAGCGCGUUCCCGCGCGUGCGCACGGGGAGAUCAAAUCGGGAACUGCACCCGGAGAAGGUUGUAUGAAUGGGUUUUCGGACAGGAGUUCGAUUCUCCUCAUCUCCACCA